AUUGAACGCUGGCGGAAGGCUUAACACAUGCAAGUCGAACGAGUGGCGCACGGGUGAGUAAUGUAUGGGAAACUGCCUGAUGGAGGGGGAUAACUACUGGCAACGGUAGCUAAUACCGCAUACCAUCAGAUGUGCCCAGAUGGGAUUAGCUUGUUGCUGGGGUAACGGCUCACCAGGGCGACGAUCCCUAGCUGGUCUGAGAGGAUGACCUGCCACACUGGAACUGAGACACGGUCCAGACUCCUACGGGAGGCAGAAGUGGGGAAUAUUGCACAAUGGGCGCAAGCCUGAUGCAGCCAUGCCGCGUGUAUGAAGAAGGCCUUCGGGUUGUAAAGUGCUUUCAGCGUGGAGGCGUUACCCGCAGAAGAAGCACCUGCUAACUCCGUGCCAGCAGCCGCGGUAAUAC
rnacentral:rRNA from 1 species